rnacentral:rRNA from 1 species
GCCCGUCGCUCCUACCGAUUGGAUGACUCGGUGAAAUCACCGGAUGCUUACGAGCAGAAAGUGAUUAAAUCACGUUAUCUAGAGGAAGGAGAAGUCGUAACAAGGUAACGGUAGGUGAACCUGCCGUUGGAUCAGUUCUAGUUUUAAUAACUAACACCAACUUCUUUUAUUAAACAAAAACCAAUACAAAAUUAAAAACUAACUUCAUCAAAAACCAAGUCUCUAAGCAAUGGAUGUCUUGGCUCCUCACACGAUGAAGAACGUGGCAUAAUGUGUUAAGUAACCCGGAGUUGCAAACAUCAUGACAGG